GAAAAACAGUUCAAUUAGCAUGUUGGAUUUAGGUAUUGGAGCUUCCAGAAGCAAAUGCUUUUGCAGAUAAUAUGGUUAGAAUUAGUGCUAAUUAGAGCAAUACUAUCUGUUGGAGUGUUUGAUACUGUGGAUGUUGUUUGCUGUUGCUUUUAGUAUUUGGUAAUCUUUAGUUCUUCCAUGGUUUUGCAGAGUUUCCUUAAAUUGAUCACUUUUGAUUCAUAGGAUUGCUUCCAAUGUUAUGUAACAAAUGGGUUGCUAGCAGGGGCCCACGUAAUGUUAUAUAGCCCUAUCUAUAUAUCUGCUGGUUCUCAAAAGAAAAACAGAAUUUACUGGUAGAACAUCUAGUUCUUCUUUUUGAAUCGUUAUAAUUUCUGGUGUAGCAACCAUACAGGCGAAGAAAGUAAAGCCUACCUUUCAACAUUGCUUCAAAGUAAAAGCACAACACUCACUACCAACCUGGAGCACCCAACCUAGAAGGAAGGGUUAUCUAAGCAUUUGUCAGAUUGAUUUAAGUCCUCUUGUAUAAACUCGUAUUAAACAUGAAUUAAAAUGUAAUUUGUCUAGCACUCUCUCCGAAUUUAAUACAAUGCAAUCCAUUACAUAAACUUGAGAAAGCUUCUUGUGCAAUCUCUUAUUUAUUGGGUGAAACUAGACUUUCUAUAUAUAGCUCUGACACUGAAUCUCUAUAAUGCAUUACUUGAAGUCUCUGCAUUGUACCUUGUUUUGGGUUGUACAAGUAUAUUUCCCAUCCAUCACAGUCCAUUAAAACUUCUCCAUUCUCUGUCAAGCACAAAGCAUUAUUUCCAUAUCCAGGAAAUUUGUGAUGUGGGAAACUGAACAAUCUGGUCAAAGAUGCUUCAAUGCCAUUCACAUUCAAUACCAAGGCCUCAAAACUGGUUCCUCUGCAUUCACAAAAUAUACACAGCCGAUUUCCUGACGCCCCCAAACUUACAAUACAAUUGGAGUUGAAAUGGUCCGGUAGUGGCAGGACUUCCUGGAAUUUCUCCUCCACCAUGUCAAAUGCAACAAUUACAUAAACUUGAUGAAGAUCACUUCUUUUUGUUUCCAACCAAUAUAGAGCUCCAUUCCAAAAAAUUCCAUAUCCUCCAUAUGAUUGAGAAACUGCAUCAAUCUCUUUAAUUCUUCUCCAGGCGCCAGUUUUUAAUGUGUAAAGUUCAACUAUAGUUUCUUUAGAAUCAUUAGCAGUAAACUGGCUGGCAAAUAAUACUCCAUAAUCAUCAGUAGAGAAAUUGUAACCGAGUCCAUAGCGGAACAUACGAUAGAUUGCACCAUUGGGGUUUGGCAAUUCCGUGUAGUCUCCGGUAGUCGGAUUCCACAAGAACAUGCUGCCAUAAUCAUCGAGUAAAUAAACCAGGCCAUUACAGGAUCCCAGAAUUCCAACGUAAAAGUUGUCAAGAGGACCUUUCACUAUAGCAGGAUAACUGAGGAUUCUGACAUUACCAUCACAGAAUGCCUCGUAGUCUACAGAUUGAGGAGGCCAAGUUGACAGGAGGAGUUUCUGGCAACUAAAGUUGUUGUGGUUCUCCUUUGCUCUAUUGAGCUGGAGCUUGGCGAAUUCAGGAUCGGAGAUCAUUGAGCGCCAUGUUUUGCUCAGGCAUUUAAAUCGAAUCAGAGGCUUGACUGGUAGCCUAGAGAAUAUUUCGACGAUGAGAUCCUGAGGUAGCUUGGACAUGACUUAUCUUCAGCUUGGUUUGAAUUAGUCUCUGUUAAUAUUCUGAGCAAAUUUUUGGUUUAGUUUCUAUUUAUACUCUUUAAGAAAUAUAAACUUAAGAUCCAAGUCUUGUUCAUGGGUCUAUCAAAUUAGACAAAUUCCAUUGUUUUGAGCUUCAUCACAAGUAGAACUUCUAGAAUCCCAAUUUUCUUCUUAUCACCCUAUUAGACCAAUUCAUUUUUGUUCUUUAAUUUUGAUUUAUUCAAACCAGGCCAUUCACUUGGAUAUCCAAAUUGAACUUGUCAAGUUUUGUUGACACUUGGUACACUAGCAAAG
rnacentral:misc_RNA from 1 species